rnacentral:rRNA from 1 species
GACGAACGCUGGCGGCGUGCCUAAUACAUGCAAGUAGAACGCUGAAGGAGGAGCUUGCUUCUCCGGAUGAGUGGCGAACGGGUGAGUAACGCGUAGGUAACCUGCCUGGUAGCGGGGGAUAACUAUUGGAAACGAUAGCUAAUACCGCAUAAGAGUAGAUGUCGCAUGACAUUUGCUUAAAAGGUGCAACUGCACCACUACCAGAUGGACCUGCGUUGUUUUGGCUAGGUGGUGGGGCAACGGCUCACCAAGGCAACGAGACAUAGCCGACCGGAGAGGGGGGUCGGCCACCCUGGGACUGUGACCCGGCCCAGACGCCCUGGGGAGGCGGCAGUAGGGAUACUUCGGCCAGCGGCGGAAGUCUGACCGAGCAACGCCGCGUGCGUGAAGAAGGUCUUCGGAUCGUAAAGCUCUGUUGUCAGGGAAGAACGCGUGUGAGACUGGAAAGUUCACACUGUGACGGUAUCUUAUCAGAAAGGGACGGCUAACUACGUG